GAGUUUGAUCAUGGCUCAGGACGAACGCUGGCGGCGUGCCUAAGAAAUGCAAGUCGAGCGAGGGAAGCAAUUCCCUAGCGGCGAACGGUCGCGUAACACGUAGGCAACCUGCCCGAAAGACCGGGACAACGCUUCGAAAGAGGCGCUAAUACCGGAUGUGGCCGGGGAGAGGCGUCUCUUCUCGUCUAAAUCAUUCAUGGCUUUCGGAGGGGCCUGCGCCCUAUCAGCUAGAUGGCGAGGUAACGGCUCACCAUGGCGACGACGGGUAGCUGGUCUGAGAGGAUGGUCAGCCGGACUGGGACUGAGAGACGGCCCAGACUCCUACGGGGGGCAGCAAUUAGGAAUCUUGCGCAAUGGGGGCAACCCUGACGCAGCGACGCCGCGUGGAGGAGGACGGCCUUCGGGUUGUAAACUCCUUUUGACGAGGAAGAAAACAAUGACGGUACUCGUCGAAUAAGCCCCGGCUAACUCCGUGCCAGCAGCCGCGGUAAUACGGAGGGGGCGAGCGUUGUCCGAAGUUACUGGGCGUAAAGGGCGCGUAGGCGGGUGGCUAAGUCCGCUGUGAAAUCCCGAGGCUUACCCUCGGAGGGUCGGUGGAUACUGGUCAUCUUGAAGAUGCUAGGGGGAGAUGGAAUUACCGGUGUAGCGGUGAAAUGCGUAGAGAUCGGUAGGAACACCCGUGGCGAAGGCGGUCUCCUGGAGCAGACUUGACGCUGAGGCGCGAAAGCUGGGGGAGCGAACGGGAUUAGAUACCCCGGUAGUCCCAGCCCUAAACGAUGGAUACUAGGUGUCAGGGGUAUCGACCCCUCUGGUGCCGCCGCUAACGCAGUAAGUAUCCCGCCUGGGGAGUACGGCCGCAAGGUUGAAACUCAAAGGAAUUGACGGGGACCCGCACAAGCGGUGGAGCAUGUGGUUUAAUUCGAUGCAACGCGAAGAACCUUACCUGGCCUUGACAUCUACGGAAUCCUGCAGAGAUGCGGGAGUGCCUUCGGGAACCGUAAGACAGGUGCUGCAUGGCUGUCGUCAGCUCGUGUCGUGAGAUGUUGGGUUAAGUCCCGCAACGAGCGCAACCCUUGUCCUUAGUUGCCAUCAUUCAGUUGGGAACUCUAAGGAGACCGCCGGUGACAAACCGGAGGAAGGUGGGGAUGACGUCAAGUCAUCAUGGCCUUUAUGGCCAGGGCUACACACGUGCUACAAUGGCAGGUACAGAGGGAAGCCAACUCGCGAGAGGGAGCCAAUCCCAGAAAGCCUGUCGUAGUCCGGAUCGGAGUCUGCAACUCGACUCUGUGAAGUCGGAAUCGCUAGUAAUCGCAGAUCAGCAUUGCUGCGGUGAAUACGUUCCCGGGUCUUGUACACACCGCCCGUCACACCAUGGGAGUUGACUGCACCAGAAGCAGANAGCCUAACCGCAAGGAUGGCGCCUACCAACGGUGUGGUCAAUGGGCUGGGGUGAAGUCGUAACAAGGUAGC
rnacentral:rRNA from 1 species